GGGAGACAUGGGGACACUUGUGGACAUAGACAUGGGGACACUGAGAGACAUGGGGACACAGACACUGUGAGACUUGGGGACACUAGGAGACAUGGGGACACUGAAGACACUGGCUGGGAGACAUGGGGACACUGGGAGACAUGGGGACACUGAGUCACUAGGGACACAGAUACUGGGAGACUAGGGGAAACUGGGAGCCAUGGGGACACUGAGCAACUAGGGACACUGGCUGGGGAACAUGGGAACACUGGGAGACUGUGUCCCUAGUGUCUCCGUGUC